GAGUUUGAUCAUGGCUCAGAUUGAACGCUGGCGGCAGGCCUAACACAUGCAAGUCGAGCGGAUGACGGGAGCUUGCUCCUUGAUUCAGCGGCGGACGGGUGAGUAAUGCCUAGGAAUCUGCCUGGUAGUGGGGGACAACGUUUCGAAAGGAACGCUAAUACCGCAUACGUCCUACGGGAGAAAGCAGGGGACCUUCGGGCCUUGCGCUAUCAGAUGAGCCUAGGUCGGAUUAGCUAGUUGGUGGGGUAAUGGCUCACCAAGGCGACGAUCCGUAACUGGUCUGAGAGGAUGAUCAGUCACACUGGAACUGAGACACGGUCCAGACUCCUACGGGAGGCAGCAGUGGGGAAUAUUGGACAAUGGGCGAAAGCCUGAUCCAGCCAUGCCGCGUGUGUGAAGAAGGUCUUCGGAUUGUAAAGCACUUUAAGUUGGGUAGGAAGGGCAGUAAGUUAAUACCUUGCUGUUUUGACGUUACCGACAGAAUAAGCACGGCUAACUCUGUGCCAGCCGCCG
rnacentral:rRNA from 1 species